ensembl:miRNA gga-mir-12240 gga-mir-12240
UCCUCCUCCUUCAUGGCCUCGUUCCUUUGCAGCUGAGGGAAGGUGCUGCGGGAGGUUGUGC